rnacentral:pre_miRNA from 1 species
AUUGUGAAUGGAAAAAUAGACCUUUCUUGACUUUUUCUCUUUUCAAGAAGAAAAAGAAGAAAAAGUGAAGAAAGGUCUAUUUUUCCGUUCACAAU